rnacentral:rRNA from 2 species
UGGGUAGGGGAGCGUUCUGUAAGCCUGUGAAGGUGGCCUGUGAGGGUUGCUGGAGGUAUCAGAAGUGCGAAUGCUGACAUAAGUAACGAUAAAGCGGGUGAAAAGCCCGCUCGCCGGAAGACCAAGGGUUCCUGUCCAACGUUAAUCGGGGCAGGGUGAGUCGACCCCUAAGGCGAGGCCGAAAGGCGUAGUCGAUGGGAAACAGGUUAAUAUUCCUGUACUUGGUGUUACUGCGAAGGGGGGACGGAGAAGGCUAUGUUGGCCGGGCGACGGUUGUCCCGGUUUAAGCGUGUAGGUGUGUGUUCCAGGUAAAUCCGGUUCACUUUAACACUGAGGCGUGAUGACGAGGCACUACGGUGCUGAAGCAACAAAUGCCCUGCUUCCAGGAAAAGCCUCUAAGCAUCAGGUAACAUCAAAUCGUACCCCAAACCGACACAGGUGGUCAGGUAGAGAAUACCAAGGCGCUUGAGAGAACUCGGGUGAAGGAACUAGGCAAAAUGGUGCCGUAACUUCGGGAGAAGGCACGCUGACACGUAGGUGAAGUGAUUUACUCAUGGAGCUGAAGUCAGUCGAAGAUACCAGCUGGCUGCAACUGUUUAUUAAAAACACAGCACUGUGCAAACACGAAAGUGGACGUAUACGGUGUGACGCCUGCCCGGUGCCGGAAGGUUAAUUGAUGGGGUCAGCGCAAGCGAAGCUCCUGAUCGAAGCCCCGGUAAACGGCGGCCGUAACUAUAACGGUCCUAAGGUAGCGAAAUUCCUUGUCGGGUAAGUUCCGACCUGCACGAAUGGCGUAAUGAUGGCCAGGCUGUCUCCACCCGAGACUCAGUGAAAUUGAACUCGCUGUGAAGAUGCAGUGUACCCGCGGCAAGACGGAAAGACCCCGUGAACCUUUACUAUAGCUUGACACUGAACAUUGAGCCUUGAUGUGUAGGAUAGGUGGGAGGCUUUGAAGUGUGGACGCCAGUCUGCAUGGAGCCGACCUUGAAAUACCACCCUUUAAUGUUUGAUGUUCUAACGUGGACCCGUAAUCCGGGUUGCGGACAGUGUCUGGUGGGUAGUUUGACUGGGGCGGUCUCCUCCUAAAGAGUAACGGAGGAGCACGAAGGUUGGCUAAUCCUGGUCGGACAUCAGGAGGUUAGUGCAAUGGCAUAAGCCAGCUUGACUGCGAGCGUGACGGCGCGAGCAGGUGCGAAAGCAGGUCAUAGUGAUCCGGUGGUUCUGAAUGGAAGGGCCAUCGCUCAACGGAUAAAAGGUACUCCGGGGAUAACAGGCUGAUACCGCCCAAGAGUUCAUAUCGACGGCGGUGUUUGGCACCUCGAUGUCGGCUCAUCACAUCCUGGGGCUGAAGUAGGUCCCAAGGGUAUGGCUGUUCGCCAUUUAAAGUGGUACGCGAGCUGGGUUUAGAACGUCGUGAGACAGUUCGGUCCCUAUCUGCCGUGGGCGCUGGAGAACUGAGGGGGGCUGCUCCUAGUACGAGAGGACCGGAGUGGACGCAUCACUGGUGUUCGGGUUGUCAUGCCAAUGGCACUGCCCGGUAGCUAAAUGCGGAAGAGAUAAGUGCUGAAAGCAUCUAAGCACGAAACUUGCCCCGAGAUGAGUUCU